UUACUGAGUUAUCAAAAACUCCAACCCUUUGUGAACCUACCUAUGUUUCCUCCGGCGUACCGCUUUAGCCUACCCACAGGGCUCCCCCAAGGGGGGGGGUUCUGCUGGGGAGGUGCCUGAGUGCUACCUAUCCUUCGGGGUACGGUUCGUGCAGUGAAGGUGCCGACCAAGGCCUCGGCGGCGCCGAGUAGGACCGCUCCAAACUUAAGCACCUAGUGCAUCCAACCCCGCGUUGAACAACUAUCGAAAAUUUGCUUUUGCAUUUGCUCUAUUGCAUUUUUUCUUUACGCUAGAACGUCUUUCCCGGUUGGAAUUAUUGCUCGAGAUGCCCUAAAAGACUGAUCGUAAGCACUGUAGGAUGCGUGAAAUGUGUGAAAUGUCCCUCUCGUAGUGUCCUUUCCACAUCGCUCAAACGUGUUUCCCGGUUGGAAUUUUUGCUCGAAAUAAUAAUUUCUUUACCCUGUAGUCGUUUGUUUUCAAGCUCCAAUAUCUGCUCGAAUAAAACUGCUUCAAUAUUUGCUCGAAAAUUGUUCAAAGCUCUGAGGGGUCUGAAUGAAUUCAUAAAAUUGGCAAAAGCCACCUAUAAACUACGGUUUUAGGGGGUGAUCAAACCAAGGUUUUAAAAACCAAAUACGUUAAAACUUUCAACAACGGAUCUCUUGGUUCUGGCAUCGAUGAAGAACGCAGCGAAAUGCGAUAAGUAAUGUGAAUUGCAGAAUUCAGUGAAUCAUCGAAUCUUUGAACGCACAUUGCGCCCAUUAGUAUUCUAGUGGGCAUGCCUAUUCGAGCGUCAUUACAACCCUUAAGCCUUGUAGCUUAGCGUUGGGAAUCUACCCCUCACCUGAGGGGUAGUUCCUUAAAUUCAGUGGCGGAGUUAUAGCACACUCUAAGCGUAGUAGUUUAACUCGCUUUCAGGGAGGCUGUAGCUGCUUGCCGUAAAAACCCCCUAUAACUUAUAGUGGUUGACCUCGGAUUAGGUAGGAAUACCCGCUGAACUUAAGCAUAUCAAUAAGCGGAGGAAAAGAAACCAACAGGGAUUGCCCUAGUAACGGCGAGUGAAGCGGCAAAAGCUCAAAUUUGAAAUCUGGCCCUAGCGGUCCGAGUUGUAAUUUGCAGAGGAUGCUUUUGGUGCGGUGCCUUCCGAGUUCCCUGGAACGGGACGCCAUAGAGGGUGAGAGCCCCGUACGGUUGGACACCUAGCCUCUAUAUAGCUCCUUCGACGAGUCGAGUAGUUUGGGAAUGCUGCUCUAAAUGGGAGGUAAAUUUCUUCUAAAGCUAAAUACCGGCCAGAGACCGAUAGCGCACAAGUAGAGUGAUCGAAAGAUGAAAAGCACUUUGAAAAGAGGGUUAAAUAGCACGUGAAAUUGUUGAAAGGGAAGCGUUUGCGACCAGACCUUCUCCAGGGGGAUCAACCGCUGUUCUCAGCGGUGCACUCCCCCUGGUUUAGGCCAGCAUCGGUUCUCUUAGGGGGAUAAAGGCCUGGGGAACGUAGCUCUUUAGGGAGUGUUAUAGCCCCUAGCGUAAUACCCUUCAGGGGACCGAGGACCGCG
rnacentral:rRNA from 1 species